UGCAGUCGAGCGGAAGAUGGGAGCUUGCUCCCUGAUGUUAGCGGCGGACGGGUGAGUAACACGUGGGUAACCUGCCUGUAAGACUGGGAUAACUCCGGGAAACCGGGGCUAAUACCGGAUGGUUGUUUGAACCGCAUGGUUCAGACAUAAAAGGUGGCUUCGGCUACCACUUACAGAUGGACCCGCGGCGCAUUAGCUAGUUGGUGAGGUAACGGCUCACCAAGGCGACGAUGCGUAGCCGACCUGAGAGGGUGAUCGGCCACACUGGGACUGAGACACGGCCCAGACUCCUACGGGAGGCAGCAGUAGGGAAUCUUCCGCAAUGGACGAAAGUCUGACGGAGCAACGCCGCGUGAGUGAUGAAGGUUUUCGGAUCGUAAAGCUCUGUUGUUAGGGAAGAACAAGUGCCGUUCAAAUAGGGCGGCACCUUGACGGUACCUAACCAGAAAGCCACGGCUAACUACGUGCCAGCAGCCGCGGUAAUACGUAGGUGGCAAGCGUUGUCCGGAAUUAUUGGGCGUAAAGGGCUCGCAGGCGGUUUCUUAAGUCUGAUGUGAAAGCCCCCGGCUCAACCGGGGAGGGUCAUUGGAAACUGGGGAACUUGAGUGCAGAAGAGGAGAGUGGAAUUCCACGUGUAUCGGUGAAAUGCGUAGAGAUGUGGAGGAACACCAGU
rnacentral:rRNA from 1 species